UUUGCAACUUACAGUUUAGUCCGUAAAAUUUCUAUAUUUACAUAUAGGUCCUCCAAUUUACAUAUAAAUCCUUAUUAAUAAAUUUUCAAAAGUGAGGGAUAUUACACUCUCCCCCCUUAAAAGAAAAUUUAGUCCUCUAAAUUUAUCAUAGCUCAAUCGAUGAAAAGAUGAGGAUUAUGAUUUCUUUAUUUCCUCCUCCUGCUCUCAAAUAAUUUCAUCAAUACAAUAUAAUGACACAAUUAUCCAAGAGUGACCGAAAUAUCCUCCUCCUUGAUCCUCAAUAGAUGGUAACCCGACCUUUAAUCAAUUUUUGAAAAUACCUAUGCACCCUACAGUUAAUCAAACAAGUCGUCACUUUAGACAAUACUCGUUUUUUGAUGGUUACCUGAUUCAAUUGUCUAAAAUUAAUAUAAAGUCUUAAUGUUCCAUCCAUCUUUUUAGCAAACACCGAAGCACCCCAUGAUGAAAUAUUAAGCCAAAUAAAAUCUUUAUUUAAUAGUCCUUGUAGUUGUUUUUCUAAUUCCAUUUACUCAAAUGAUGUCAUUCUGUAGAGAGGCUUAGAUAUUGGGAUUGUCCCAAGGACCAAAUCAAAAGCAAAGUCACGUUUGGAGGUAAUCCAAACAAGUCAUCCUGGGAUACAUUAGGCAAGGAGAUAAAUCAUGUCCAAUACUCUCAAAAUAAAAGAUCGGCUGAUCAAAUAUGCAAAAAGGGAUCAUUUGUUAUAUACCAAUCCAUACUGGUAUGAUAAGAAGAUAGCCAAUCCAUACCAAGUAUA
rnacentral:lncRNA from 1 species